AUUGAACGCUGGCGGCAGGCCUAACACAUGCAAGUCGAGCGAGCGGCGGACGGGUGCGUAAUGUAUGGGGACUGCCCGAUAGAGGGGGAUAACUACUGGAAACGGUAGCUAAUACCGCAUACUAUCGGAUAACCCAUAUGGGAUUAGAUAGUAGGUCAGGUAAUGGCUUACGUAGGCGACGAUCCCUAGCUGGUCUGAGAGGAUGAUCAGCCACACUGGGACUGAGACACGGCCCAGACUCCUCCGGAGCGAGGAGUGGGGAAUAUUGGACAAUGGGCUCAAGCCUGAGGCAGCCAUGCCGCGUGUAUGAAGAAGGCCCUAGGGUUGUAAAGUACUUUCAGGCGGGAGGCGUUACCGAAAGAAGAAGCACCGGCUAACUCCGUGACAGCAGCCGCGGUAAUAC
rnacentral:rRNA from 1 species